UACGGAGGGGCUAGCGUUGUUCGGAAUUACUGGGCGUAAAGCGCACGUAGGCGGAACAGAAAGUCAGAGGUGAAAUCCCAGGGCUCAACCUUGGAACUGCCUUUGAAACUCCUGUUCUUGAGGUCGAGAGAGGUGAGUGGAAUUCCGAGUGUAGAGGUGAAAUUCGUAGAUAUUCGGAGGAACACCAGUGGCGAAGGCGGCUCACUGGCUCGAUACUGACGCUGAGGUGCGAAAGCGUGGGGAGCAAACAGG
rnacentral:rRNA from 1 species